rnacentral:tRNA from 1 species
AUGGCUCAGUGGAAAGAGCACUGUCUUGGGAGUCAGAGGUCAUGGGUUCCAAUCCCAUU